GAAAGAGGCCUAGCAGUCUGGGACUCUGCCUUGGAGUGUGGAACCAAAGGGGGAGCCAGGGUGCUGCCAAGGACAUUGACCCAGUCCAGGGGCUGUUGGAUGCAGCUACAGACUGUUGCCUAUUGAAACUGGGAGGUAGCAGGCUGCUUUCUUUAGGCCCAGCAUGAGGCAGGCUGUUCCCUUUCUGUAGAAGAUUGAGAGGGCAAUAAGAAAAAGAGCAGGAAGAAAGGGCAAGUCUUUUAGUCCUUAUUCAGUGCAUGCACAGAUGAUCCCUGGAGCACAGGAAGUGCUGGUACCAUUUACCCUGGACAGCUAUGAAGAGGUGGGAUCCAGUUCUAACAAUGGACUCUACACAGCUCUUCCCUGAAAGAAAUGGCAGCGGUAGCUGCAGCACAAGUAUACACUUAGCACUGGACAGAGUACUCUGCAAACUUCUUUAAAACUUUUUUCCAGCACAUAAAUACUCAAACUCCAGUGUAGGAACCUGCUUAUACAAGGACAAUUUAGCUGGAGGUAUGUUGCCAAACGAAGUGUGAGAUUUACUUUAUGGAAUAAACAGCAGAGUUCAUAAAACAUGGGUGUCACAUGGCCAGAUGCAGCAUAUCAGGAAUCAAUAGAGCUACCUUUUAAUACAUUAUGGCUUCAGACCAAAAAAAGAGACUGAUUGCUUUUUCCUCAUGAGUGGAGCAAGCUUUAGAAUGAGACAGAAAUUCUUCUCUUAAAUUCCCCAU